ensembl:snoRNA
UCCCACAACUACUGGUCUGCAACUCUUCUUGUAGCCAUUGUGGCAUUCGUCUGUGGAAAAUAAACUGCUACACAAUGUAAAUGCCCCAUUAGCAAAAUAGAAAGUGGACAUGUGUGAGACAAACAAGG